rnacentral:rRNA from 1 species
UACGAGGGGGGCGAGCGUUGUUCGGAAUUAUUGGGCGUAAAGGGUGCGUAGGCGGUUUGGUAAGUCUUGUGUGAAAUCUACAGGCUCAACUUGUAGUCUGCACGAGAAACUGCCGGGCUUGAGUAUGGGAGAGGUGAGUGGAAUUCCUGGUGUAGCGGUGAAAUGCGUAGAUAUCAGGAGGAACACCUGUGGUGUAGACGGCUUUCUGGACCAUAGCUGACGCUGAGACACGAAAGCGUGGGUAGCAAACAGG